GAUGAAGAACGUAGCGAAAUGCGAUAAGUAGUGUGAAUUGCAGAAUUCAGUGAAUCAUCGAAUCUUUGAACGCACAUUGCGCCCCUUGGUAUUCCAUGGGGCAUGCCUGUUCGAGCGUCAUUUGUACCUUCAAGCUCUGCUUGGUGUUGGGUGUUUGUCUCGCCUCUGCGUGUAGACUCGCCUCAAAACAAUUGGCAGCCGGCGUAUUGAUUUCGGAGCGCAGUACAUCUCGCGCUUUGCACUCAUAACGACGACGUCCAAAAGUACAUUUUUACACUCUUGACCUCGGAUCAGGUAGGGAUACCCGCUGAACUUAAGCAUAUCAAUAAGCGGGGGA
rnacentral:misc_RNA from 1 species